rnacentral:rRNA from 1 species
CCUACGGGAGGCAGCAGUGAGGAAUAUUGGUCAAUGGGCGCGAGCCUGAACCAGCCAAGUCGCGUGAGGGAAGACGGUCCUAUGGAUUGUAAACCUCUUUUGUCGGGGAGCAAAAGACGCCACGUGUGUCCUUCCGAGAGUACCCUACGAAAAAGCAUCGGCUAACUCCGUGCCAGCAGCCGCGGUAAUACGGAGGAUGCGAGCGUUAUCCGGAUGUAUUGGGUUAAAAGGGGGCGCAGGCGGAAGAUCAAGUCAGCGGUAAAAUUGAGGGGCUCAACCUCUUCGAGCCGUUGAAACUGGUUUUCUUGAGUGAGCGAGAAGUAUGCGGAAUGCGUGGUGUAGCGGUGAAAUGCAUAGAUAUCACGCAGAACUCCGAUUGCGAAGGCAGCAUACCGGCGCUCAACUGACGCUCAUGCACGAAAGUGUGGGUAUCGAACAGGAUUAGAUACCCGAGUAGUC